rnacentral:rRNA from 1 species
AGUGAACGCUGGCGGUAGGCCUAACACAUGCAAGUCGAACGGCAGCACAGGAGAGCUUGCUCUCUGGGUGGCGAGUGGCGGACGGGUGAGGAAUACAUCGGAAUCUACUUUUUCGUGGGGGAUAACGUAGGGAAACUUACGCUAAUACCGCAUACGACCUACGGGUGAAAGCAGGGGAUCUUCGGACCUUGCGCGAUUGAAUGAGCCGAUGUCGGAUCAGCUAGUUGGCGGGGUAAAGGCCCACCAAGGCGACGAUCCGUAGCUGGUCUGAGAGGAUGAUCAUCCACACUGGAACUGAGACUCGGUCCAGACUCCUACGGGAGGCAGCAGUGGGGAAUAUUGGACAAUGGGCGCAAGCCUGAUCCAGCCAUACCGCGUGGGUGAAGAAGGCCUUCGGGUUGUAAAGCCCUUUUGUUGGGAAAGAAAUCCAGCUGGUUAAUACCCGGUUGGGAUGACGGUACCCAAAGAAUAAGCACCGGCUAACUUCGUGCCAGCCGCCGCGGUAA